GAUGAACGCUGGCGGCGUGCCUAAUACAUGCAAGUCGAGCGAACGGACGAGAAGCUUGCUUCUCUGAUGUUAGCGGCGGACGGGUGAGUAACACGUGGAUACCCUACCUAUAAGACUGGGAUAACUUCGGGAAACCGGAUCUAAUACCGGAUGAUAUUUUGAACCGCAUGGUUCAAAAGUGAAAGACGGUCUUGCUGUCACUUAUAGAUGGAUCCGCGCUGCAUUAGCUAGUUGGUAAGGUAACGGCUUACCAAGGCAACGAUGCAUAGCCGACCUGAGAGGAUGAUCAGCCACACUGGAACUGAGACACGGUCCAGACUCCUACGGGAGGCAGCAGUAGGGAAUCUUCCGCAAUGGGCGAAAGCCUGACGGAGCAACGCCGCGUGAGUGAUGAAGGUCUUCGGAUCGUAAAACUCUGUUAUUAGGGAAGAACAUAUGUGUAAGUAACUGUGCACAUCUUGACGGUACCUAAUCAGAAAGCAACGGCUAACUACGUG
rnacentral:rRNA from 1 species